rnacentral:rRNA from 1 species
GACAGAGGGUGCAAACGUUGUUCGGAAUCACUGGGCGUAAAGCGCGUGUAGGCGGCUGCGCAAGUCGGGCGUGAAAUCCCGUGGCUCAACCACGGAAGUGCACCCGAAACUGCGUAGCUGGAGUCUCGGAGAGGAAGGUGGAAUGCUUGGUGUAGAGGUGAAAUGCGUAGAUAUCGGGAGGAACACCAGUGGCGAAGGCGACUAUCUGGGCUGCAACUGACGCUGAGGCGCGAAGGCUAGGGUAGCAAACAGG